rnacentral:lncRNA from 1 species
GUCAUCUCACUCACAAGCUCCCUUGCCCGACUCAGUUCCUCAUUCUUACACAAUGCCUUCAACAACAAGUUAUAAGUAAUCAAAUUCGGCCUACACCCCAACUCGUCCAUACAAGUAAUCAUCUUUAUCCCAGCUUCCACAUUAUUCUGGUUACACAACCCAUUUAUAUACACAUUGUAAGUAUAAACAUCAGGAACCAAACCCAACACAAGCAACUCAUCAAACACCUUAUCUGCAUUCUUGUAAUCCCCAUUUGCGAUAACACCAUACAAAACCAUGGUAUAACACACAAUAUCAGGCUUCAUCCCCUCGACUUUCAUCUUACACAAAACUCUCAAAGCAUCCAAACCCUUCCCCUGUUUCACCAAACACCUAAUCACAUUGGAAUAGUCCAACAUCCCAGGACAAAACCCAACCUUCUUCAUCUCCUCCACAAAACCCACAACCUCCAAACCACCUACACCUUUUUGCUCACACAAUGAUGACAAUACCAAAGAGCAAAUCUUCACAUCCAAAUCAUACCCAUUACUAAUCAUGCAUUUCAUUAUCUCAAUAGCAUACCCAACACUUCCAAUUCUACACAAUGCAGAGAUCAAAAUCCGAAAGCUCGACUCUUCAAGCCUAAUUCCCAUUGCUCUGCUGUUCAUCAAAACCUGGGGCACCAUUUUAAGACCUUCACUACUUCCACAAAGCACAUAUAGCAGAGAGUUGAGUGAGACCGCAGAAGGGUCACAUC